CCUACGGGGGGCAGCAGUGAGGAAUAUUGGUCAAUGGGCGGGAGCCUGAACCAGCCAAGUCGCGUGAGGGAUGACGGUCCUACGGAUUGUAAACCUCUUUUGCCGGGGAGCAAGCGUGCGUUCGUGAACGCGCGUCGAGAGUACCCGGAGAAAAAGCAUCGGCUAACUCCGUGCCAGCAGCCGCGGUAAUACGGAGGAUGCGAGCGUUAUCCGGAUUUAUUGGGUUUAAAGGGUGCGUAGGCGGGAUGCCAAGUCAGCGGUAAAAAUGCGGUGCUCAACGCCGUCGAGCCGUUGAAACUGGCUGUCGUGAGAUGGCGAGAGGUAUGCGGAAUGCGCAGUGUAGCGGUGAAAUGCUUAGAUAUUGCGCAGAACUCCGAGUGCGAAGGCAGCAUACCGGCGGCGAUCUGACGCUGAGGCACGAAAGCGUGGGUAUCGAACAGGAUUAGAUACCCUGGUAGUC
rnacentral:rRNA from 1 species